AGCCUCUCUCAAAUGACUUCUCCUGUUGUUUGUGUUUCUCCAGUGUGGGUGCUGGAGAGCAUAACUGAUGAGGAGGACUCUCCAGCUAGGGAACUGCUUUCCAGCUCCUGGACCACCUCAUAUCACCAGCACCCUCUACCCAAGGUCCUGGAGCCAACACUGGAGUAAAAGAGCACAAGAGAACUCCUUAGAGGUGGAAGGAUACCCUCUGAGGUCAAAUCAUUGGGCUUGUGGCCAUGAGACCACAGACUUUGCCUGGCUUCCAGUGACUGUCCGAGAUGACCUGUGGAGUGCACCGCCUGUACUUGGACAUCACUGUCUUUUCGGAUCCAUACCCGUCAUCCUUGGAAUUUCCCCUGCAUCCAAACCUGUUCCUGAUACAGGUAUAACCCUAAGGAAUAUCUUGGAUGUCUUCACGGGGCUUAUGACUUAUUCUGAGGUUUACAAAAUAGAGGCCCCCAGCUGAGCAAAGAGAGGGCUGCAGCGCCGAGGGAACAGCUGCCGGACUCACCGGAGAGGCCUCCUGGAGCACGCCGGGACCCCCUCCACCCCCUGGCUUUGG
rnacentral:lncRNA from 1 species